CUUGUUUUGCCCCCAGACUUUCUUCUGUGAUGUUGUUCAUGUGAGAAUUUUCCCCCUUUACCAUGUCCUUUAUCUGUGUAUUUUUCAUGGUGAAAUUCCUCUGCCGCAAAAGACAAUUCUUAAUUUUCGCUUGGAAAGUCUAUUUUAAUGUAAAGCAGAUGAGUAAAAAGAAAAAAUAUAUUAAUUUGAUCAGAUCAGUCUUUUAACUGCUGCAAGAAAUUAGAAACGGCAGAGAAAUACUACAGAGCUUUUUUUUUUUUUUCCCCCCAAUUAAAAAAAAGACAUUUCUCGCUACUGAAUUGUGCUGAUUGAUCUUCAGGCCUUCAAUAGAAUAAUUAACAAUGAUUUGCUUAGACGGAUUUUUUUUGUCAGCAUCUUCCUCCUCCUCCUGCUGGCUCUUUGUUGUAUCUUACAACGUGCCAGAGCCAGAAUAAUGGUUUAAUUUAGCUCAUAUGAACAUAUCUAAAGCUGUAUCUGCAGUGAAAUAUCGCGAAGUUAGGACGCUUCAGAGUGUUAGAAGAAAAUGGUAUUAUGCUAAACAGAACUAUAUUAAAUCACAGGUUGCUGGUGUAGAGAGCAUAUUUAAAGUUUUGAAAAAAUUAAAUACAACUCUUGCAGCAGUCAGUAGAUGGUAGGAGUAUAGUUACAACAGCAGAAGAGGAAUAAUCCUAGGAACCUCAAUUCUCAAUUCCCGUGCUCUAUUUUUCAUUUAUUACUAUGAAACUGACUUUAGACUGUUCAUCUGGCUUACUGAAAUCAGCAUUUGUCAUAUAUGUGGGGCUUAACUUCUCUCUUCAGAUGGAAUCACACCAAGAAAUCAUGUUCUUCAAUUUAAAUGCGAGUUUAGCUAAAUAGUUUCUGAUACCAUUUAGCCUCCUGAUAAGAGUCAGAUUUCUUCAAUAAUCAUCUUCUAACGUUUGGCAUUUGAGAGAUUUUUAGACGUACUCAUUUGCAUAUUUUUAAGAAACAAAGCCCUAACGGCAGCUUUAAGAAAUUCAUAUUAAUCAAGGGACGUGCUUUGUUCCCCAGGGCUUUCUGAUAAUAAAUGAUACUCUGUGUAGCAGAAGUGUCCAGUCAGCAUUUUAUGUGUAUAAAGCCUAUAAUGUAGUCUGCUGCUGUAUUUGGAGGAAAGCUAUCCUGCAAAUAUGGCCUCAGGUUGAUGUCUUGGGAAGUAUACAGGGACAGCCAAAUGAAGAUGGAUAUUACGUUAUAUCCAUUCUUUGAUCACUAUUGCAAAACUUGAUAUUUCUUUCAUCUAGCUGUGAAAGUCCCAUCACAGUUGCACAGAAGAUCUACGUGACUGAAAUAUCUGCACACGCCAUGGUUAUGUACAGAGUAUGAAUUUUCCCUUCUAAAGUGUUUCUAGUUCUUUUGGUCAUUAAUUCUGAGCCUGAACCAAUCCCCUGUGCUCCCCUUAUCUGCGUGAUAAUUCCAAGGCAUAUUGACAGAUUAAAUAUCAAGAUUAUCUCCUAAUAUUUUCCUAAUAUUUUUCUGUUUGGAUAUGUUGGCGAAAAAGCAGAAUUUUAGCUGUGCUCCUUUGUGCCUUAGGUUCGGUGCAACUAGUACUUAUAGUGGUGUUUAAGCUUAUAAUGAUUGGCAACAAGUCCCUCGGUGCCUGACAGCCAGGCUGGUAUUGCUGGAGUUUAUCAGACAUCUGUCACUCUCCACCUCAGUGCAUACAAUUCUUCGCUGUAGAGCUAUGAGGAAAACAGAGUGGAGCCUGUAGAUGUUUUUCAAGGCUAAGUCUCCUAAAUCUCCUUUCAUCCUUCCUAAAGCAUCCCAUCCUACAUCAUUCUGCAGCAUCUCAGCAUUGUUUCCUCUGUGUUCUUGUAGCGUUCUAUCACCUUGGAUACCUGGCUGGGGCUCCAGAGUUAAUCAGUGCAUAAUUGGUUAAGAACAUCUAAGUAGAUUUUAGUUGGCUUGAGAAUUUAAUUCUCAUUGCUAAACAGUCAAUAGUCUUGUUAAGCAGUAUCCCAAUCACAAGGAAUCAUGGAGAGGUAGAUCAUUUUGCAUAGAAGUCAAAAAAUCCUGACACGUCAAUUUAAAUCAUAUUCAGUGAAUGAAGCAAGCCUAGUAUUUCUGCCUUCUAGUUUAUCCAAAGGCCUCUCUCUAAAAAUUGCGUGCUAUGCAGGCUGUAUAAAUAACUGACUAGAAUAUGUAUGAAAAAUAAGAGGAAUUGCUUUAUCUAUGCAGUAUGUAGGACAAGGUUAAAUCCAGUGCAAGUUUUAGUUUACAGGAGAUGGCAUUCUUCUGGUAAGUAGUCACAUUAGGUUAUAUGUAAUUUGAUAUAUGUAUAUUUUGUCCGUGCAUGUGUGUAUAUUUAUAAACCCCCCUAAUAUUCUGUUGGAAUACUGCUGCUCGAUGGUCUGUCUACUGAAGUUCCUUUUCAGUCUAUGGCAUAGCAUCUCUUUUCUGAACUACAGCUACCAAGAGGUGUUUGUGUGACUGCAGGACCUGGGUCAGCAAGAUUCACACCUCAGCGCAGCUAACCUUCGAAUGUUUGUUAGGUUUUGUGCUGCUGGGUGUGAGUCACAGCAAGUCAGUUUAUCUUCUUAAGAACUGUCGGAAGUCAGUGCAUGUAUUUCUGCUGGGAGUUGGAUUACUAGCUUUCCAGACAUGCUGUGAGACUUCUUGCCUUGGUUUUUGGAAGAGAUGAAUUUCAGAUUAUGAUCAUGGUUUUGUAUCACAGCAUGUUAAUUUUUAUUUCUUGACAUUCAUUGUAUAACCAGUACUGAGGUUUUCGUAUUUUCUUCAACAGCAACAGCAGUUCAGUUGCUUCGUUGUUCAGAUUAAUGCGAAGCUGAGAGAACUUGAAGUGCUCUCACACAGAUGGAUGAAUGGCACAGGACACCCUGAAGAUUCCUGUGUUCCAGAGUGCUUGGGAUUCCUCAUGAGCUGGAUGGCAAGAAAGUGUUGCACAUUUGAGUACAUAGUUGUGGCACCAGAUUGGAUCAAGAAGGACCUUCCUGAUGAGGAGCUUGCUGAAUCCAACGUGGCUCCAUGAAGUUAGAGGUGCCGGUGUUGCGCUUCUGAGUUUUCCUGGUUUUGUACCAUGGUCCAGAUAUACAGUGUGUGGAGCUGGCUUGGAUCAGUAGAGCUUAUUCAUGUUCCAGAUCACAUAAAAAUGGCUAAACUACUUCCAGAUCUGAAUCAACACUGAAAGCUGUUUAACCUUGUUUAUGCAGCGCUGCACCUGAGCCAAUAAACUUUGUAUUAAUAA